UACAGAGGUCUCAAGCGUUGUUCGGAUUCAUUGGGCGUAAAGGGUGCGUAGGUGGCGCCGUAAGUCGGGUGUGAAAUUUCGGAGCUUAACUCCGAAACUGCAUUCGAUACUGCGGUGCUUGAGGACUGGAGAGGAGACUGAAAUUCAUGGUGUAGCAGUGAAAUGCGUAGAGAUCAUGAGGAAGACCAGUGGCGAAGGCGGGUCUCUGGACAGUUCCUGACACUGAGGCACGAAGGCCAGGGGAGCAAACGGG
rnacentral:rRNA from 1 species